GUCCCCAGCCUCCCAGCAAGCCCUUGCCUGCCCUAAGAGUUUGGGAGUGGGUAGGAGAGUGGCAGAGGGCCAUCAAGAGCAAUCAUCACCACCCUCACCCCCAGAAGGAAGGAGGCCAGACCAGUUUGGGAGGUCAGAUGGGACAAAGGCAUCUUUGGAGGGUACUUCCUGUUCUCCUUUGACCUCUGUGGAUUCCAAAAACAGGAAGUCUGCAGCCAUUGGGUAGAGAAGAGAGAGCCGGAAAGGAAAGCUCUGCCUUCAACUGCCGGCUCAUAUCUAUGAAUGGGAAUGGGCACGAAUGAAUGGGAAUGAACAGAUUGGGAUGGAAAUUCUCUGGAUUUGGAAUUAUUAUAAGAAUGUUGCGUGUGUGUGAUUGUUUUGAAGGAGCCUAAGAUUUUCAGCCUGCCACUCCCAGACCAGCAAGCUGUCAGAGCAGUUCUGCAAUAUUCUGGAAGAUGCUGAAAUCCAAUGUGAGACUUUCCCCAAACCAGAAUGACAGGCUUUCGCAUACAGGGAAGUUCCCCAGUCUGUCUCCAGUCUCCACCCUGCAAACAUGUCAGAGGACACCUGGACAAGUUCUGGCAGACUCCAACCCCUGGUAGCGUGUGUACUGAGGUGAGGGCAGGGGUGGCCAAGAUGAAGGAAUGCAUGCAGGAAACUGGAACGUCUGCCCAGGAAGCGAGACUCUCCCAGAAAGAAAGGGAUGGCUUGAGCCAGUGGGGCAGGGGUUAAAUGCAAGAGCAUGUGAGUCGGUUAAACCUGCGUUCAAACUGCGGCUUUUCCCCCACCACUUAUCCACUGUUGGGCCUUGGUCACAUUACCAAAUCUCUCUGGGUUUCUCCACCUGUAAAAUGGGAUAGUAAUGUAAUACCCAUUUCAAAAUGUUGCUGUAAGGAUUAAUACACCUAAAUGAACACUCAUAGGCAAAAAAUGAAACCAACCAAUACUUCACAUAUUAUCCAAAAAUUAACUCAAAAUGGAUCAUGGGCUUAAAUUAAAAUGUAAAACUACAAAACUUUUAGAAAAAAAAAUAGAAAAUCUUCUGGACCUAGGGUUAGGCCAAAAGUUCUUAGGCUUAACACCCAAAGCGCAAUCCACAAAAGGAAAAGUUGAUAAAUGGUGCUCACCAAAAAUUUAAAAUAUUCACUCUGUGAAAGAUCCCCUGAAGAGGAUGAAAAGUCAAGCCUCAAACAGAGAGAAAAUAUUUGCAAACUACAUAUUUGACAAAGCACUAAUUUUCUAGAAUAUAUAAAGAACUCUCCAAACUCAAUGGUAAAAAACCAAGCUAUCCAAUUAGAAUAGAUACGAACAGGGGCCGACCCAGUGGUGCAGCGGUUGAGUUUGCACAUUGCCCUUCU